GAACUUCCUGGCUAAGUUUUCUGGAGCUGCCUGCCAGAGUCCAUCUCAGCUAACAUCCUCAGGACACACUUGGAUCUCUUAAUGAUGUAGUCUCUAUAAGGAGAGAGUGUAUCAUAUGCUGCCAGGAAGUUAAGGAGAGAAACUGUUCUCUUGCCCAUCUCUGACAUACCUAAUCAGGCAAGCGGCCAAAGCUUGCUUAAAGACAAGCUGUGUUCCAGUUCUUUAUUAUUCCUGACUUCCAAGGAGCUGAAAUUGGUUCGGAGCCUCUUUUUUUAAUAUGACUGGCAAGUGAGCACAAACUCCUCAAAAGAUUAAUGAAGAUGACAGUGCUGUACAAAUGCUUCUUUAAAAACAGAGAUAAGUGGUGGUGGAACAAAAGUCUGGCAGAAUUCCCAGUGCUCUCUGGGGUCAAAUGGAUUGCAUAUUGAAAAAUUAUCAUCAGUGUUUCAAAGAAGGAGGACCACCAGCAAUUAACAUCAAAAUAGCACAGAUUUUUGUUCUCCCCUCAUUGGUCAACUGCCUCAUUCUUACCCAUUGGCAAAAACCGCUUAUGUCUUGAAUGAUAAUUUUUUCCUACAUACAGAUUGAUCCAGGAGAAAAGAGUAUGCCCUUGAAAAAUAGAAAUCAUAUUGAAACAAGUGGAUCCCAUCUGCUAAAAAAUAAAUAUCAUGGAAAAAAG
ensembl:lncRNA